rnacentral:rRNA from 1 species
GAUGAACGCUGGCGGCGUGCCUAAUACAUGCAAGUCGAGCGAACAGACGAGGAGCUUGCUCCUCUAACGUUAGCGGCGGACGGGUGAGUAACACGUGGAUAACCUACCUAUAAGACUGGGAUAACUUCGGGAAACCGGAGCUAAUACCGGAUAAUAUAUUGAAUCGCAUGGUUCAAUAGUGAAAGACGGUUUUGCUGUCACUUAUAGAUGGAUCCGCGCCGCAUUAGCUAGUUGGUAAGGUAACAGCUUACCAAGGCAACGAUGCGUAGCCGACCUGAGAGGGUGAUCGGCCACACUGGAACUGAGACACGGUCCAGACUCCUACGGGAGGCAGCAGUAGGGAAUCUUCCGCAAUGGGCGAAAGCCUGACGGAGCAACGCCGCGUGAGUGAUGAAGGUCUUCGGAUCGUAAAACUCUGUUAUUAGGGAAGAACAGAUGUGUAAGUAACUAUGCACGUCUUGACGGUACCUAAUCAGAAAGCCACGGCUAACUACGUGCCAGCAGCCGCGGUAAUACGUAGGUGGCAAGCGUUAUCCGGAAUUAUUGGGCGUAAAGCGCGCGUAGGCGGUUUUUUAAGUCUGAUGUGAAAGCCCACGGCUCAACCGUGGAGGGUCAUUGGAAACUGGAAAACUUGAGUGCAGAAGAGGAAAGUGGAACUCCAUGUGUAGCGGUGAAAUGCGCAGAGAUAUGGAGGAACACCAGUGGCGAAGGCGACUUUCUGGUCUGUAACUGACGCUGAUGUGCGAAAGCGUGGGGAUCAAACAGGAUUAGAUACCCUGGUAGUCCACGCCGUAAACGAUGAGUGCUAAGUGUUAAGGGGUUUCCGCCCCUUAGUGCUGCAGCUAACGCAUUAAGCACUCCGCCUGGGGAGUACGACCGCAAGGUUGAAACUCAAAGGAAUUGACGGGGACCCGCACAAGCGGUGGAGCAUGUGGUUUAAUUCGAAGCAACGCGAAGAACCUUACCAAAUCUUGACAUCCUCUGACCCCUCUAGAGAUAGAGUUUUCCCCUUCGGGGGACAGAGUGACAGGUGGUGCAUGGUUGUCGUCAGCUCGUGUCGUGAGAUGUUGGGUUAAGUCCCGCAACGAGCGCAACCCUUAAGCUUAGUUGCCAUCAUUAAGUUGGGCACUCUAAGUUGACUGCCGGUGACAAACCGGAGGAAGGUGGGGAUGACGUCAAAUCAUCAUGCCCCUUAUGAUUUGGGCUACACACGUGCUACAAUGGACAAUACAAAGGGUAGCGAAACCGCGAGGUCAAGCAAAUCCCAUAAAGUUGUUCUCAGUUCGGAUUGUAGUCUGCAACUCGACUAUAUGAAGCUGGAAUCGCUAGUAAUCGUAGAUCAGCAUGCUACGGUGAAUACGUUCCCGGGUCU